rnacentral:misc_RNA from 1 species
UGACUUGAUAAAGAUAAGUUAAUUCAUAAGAAAGAACUUGACUGUUUCUUCACUUGGAUACCUGAUACAAAUUUUUUUGUCCUUGCACCUUUCUCCUUAGAUCAUCUCUUGUAUUUUUAUUUGUUCUUACAAGAACUAUCAAACUCCAUACCCAUUUGCCAAAGAAAUAGACUAACAGCAGCUUUGUCACAAAAGACCUGAACAGAACAUGUUAUAUGUUUGCCUUGAAAAAAAUCUUCUACACUGCACUGAUUCGAGAGGAUAACCAACAAGACCAGAAGAAACGCCACUCAAGUGAGAGUGGCAGUAAGAGCAUCAAACUAAAAAUGCUUCAACAGAAACUGAGCUUCUUCAUCACUUUUGCAUAAGCCAAAGGGACCGUAGCAGGUUGCCUGAGCCGACGUUUUGAUUUCUUAGACUUUAAAUGUGCAUUAUGUCUCUUCCCCUCCUUCCAGCGCCUAAUCUGGCCAUCCUUCAUCACACGAAAUCUGUCCUUGUAAGACGAAUAAAAUUUCAUUUUGAUUUUCUUGACUUUUGAUGUGAUUGGAGUCAUGGGCUUCCUGCUUUUCAACUUCCUUUUCCUCUGUUUUGCAGUGAUGUACCGCACUUGCAUGAAAGAAAGAGGGAGGAGAGACGAGUGAGUGGGGAACGAAACAGGGCCACCAUGGCAAAGGGGUUUAAAGGUGGGAGAGAGUAUUGACUGUGUGAAGGGUUUGUUAAUAAUGGGAUUGGUAGCAGUGUGGAGAAGACGAUGAGGAGUAAGAGGGUAGUGAUGGGCAUUUGGAGUUGAACGGAGAGCGGCGAGGGACCGGAGCUUAGAGCACCAUCUCUGCAUCUUUGCUCUCUAUUUGGGACUUAGGUUUUUUUGCUUUCG